GCAUAUCAAUAAGCGGAGGAAAAGAAACCAACAGGGAUUGCCUUAGUAACGGCGAGUGAAGCGGCAACAGCUCAAAUUUGAAAUCUGGCCCUUGGGUCCGAAUUGUAAUUUGUAGAGGAUGAUUUUGGUGCGGUAUCUUCCGAGUUCCUUGGAACAGGACGCCUUAGAGGGUGAGAGCCCCGUACGGUUGAAUGCCUAGCCUCUGUAAAUCUCCUUCGACGAGUCGAGUAGUUUGGGAAUGCUGCUCUAAAUGGGAGGUAAAUUUCUUCUAAAGCUAAAUAUUGGCCAGAGACCGAUAGCGCACAAGUAGAGUGAUCGAAAGAUGAAAAGCACUUUGAAAAGAGGGUUAAAUAGCACGUGAAAUUGUUGAAAGGGAAGGAUUUGUGACCAGACUUUUUCUGGGCGGAUCAUCCGGGGUUCUCUCCGGUGCACUUUGCCCAGUAAAGGCCAGCAUCGGUUUUCGGCGGGGGAUAAAAGCAGUAGGAAUGUGGCUCUCUACGGGGAGUGUUAUAGCCUAUUGUAUAAUACCCUGCUGGGGACCGAGGUACGCGCUUCUGCAAGGAUGCUGGCGUAAUGGUUAUCAAUCACCCGUCUUGAAACACGGACCAAGGAGUCGAACAUUUGUGCGAGUGUUUGGGUGUUAAACCCUCACGCGUAAUGAAAGUGAACGGAGGUGAGAGCCCUUACGGGUGCAUCAUCGACCGAUCCUGAAGUUUUCGGAUGGAUUUGAGUAAGAGCAUAACUGUUCGGACCCGAAAGAUGGUGAACUAUGCGUGGAUAGGGUGAAGCCAGAGGAAACUCUGGUGGAGGCUCGCAGCGGUUCUGACGUGCAAAUCGAUCGUCAAAUCUGCGCAUGGGGCGAAAGACUAAUCGAACCAUCUAGUAGCUGGUUACCGC
rnacentral:rRNA from 1 species